ensembl:lncRNA
GACUGGGAGCCAUACUGGGACGGACUGGGAGGGACUGGGAGGGACUGGGAGGGACUGGGAGGGGCUGGGUGGGGCUGGGAGGGACUGGGAGUCAUACUGGGAUAUACUGGGAGGGACUGGGAGCCAUACUGGGAUAUACUGGGAGGGACUGGGAGGGACUGGGAGGGACUGGGAGUCAUACUGGGAUAUACUGGGAUAUACUGGGAGGGACUGGGAGUCAUACUGGGAUAUACUGGGAGGGACUGGGAGGGACUGGGAUGGGACUGGGAUGGACUGGGAGGGAAUGGGAGUCAUACUGGGAGGGACUGGGAUAUACUGGGAGGGACUGGGAGGGACUGGGAUCAUACUGGGAUAUACUGGGAGGGACUGGGAGGGCAUACUGGGAUAUACUGGGAGGGACUGGGAGGGAUGUACUGGUCCAUACUGGUCCAUACUGGUCUAUACUGGUCCUUACUGGUCCAUACUGGUCUAUACUGGUCCAUACUGGUCCAUACUGGUCUAUACUGGUCUAUACUGGUGUUUGAUAGGGGUGCAACAAUGGGCUCUCCUGGCAUCUUCUAUUGCUUCCUAUGGCUCUCUAUGGACCUCUAUGGGUCCCUAUUGGUCUAUACUGGUUUCUACUGGUCCAUACUGGUUCAUACUGGUCUAUACUGGUCCAUACUGGUCCAUACUGGUCCAUACUGGUGUGGGAAGGGGUUGGACAAUGGGUUCUCCUGGGAUCUUCUAUUGGUUCCUAUGGGUCUCUAUUCACCUCUAUGGGUCCGUAGCGGCCCAUACUGGUCCCU